CCCUUGGCCAGGUUGAAGGCUGGGUAACACCAGCUGGAGGACCGCACCAAUAAGCGUUGAAAAGCUUCUGGAUGAGCCGAGUGUAGGAGUGAAAGGCCAAUCAAACUUGGAGAUAGCUCGUACUCCCCGAAAGGCAUUUAGGUGCCGCGUCGGAUGGUCACCGUGAGAGGUAGAGCGACCGAUAGGACAAGAGGGCUUCACCGCCUAUCGAGUCCUGACGAACUCCGAAUGCUCACGGUCUGCAGUCCGGCAGUAAGGGGGCGGGUGCUAAGGUCCGUCCCCGAGAGGAGAAGAAUCCAGACCGCCGUCUAAGGUCCCGGAGUUCUGCCUGAGUUAGUCUAACGAAGUCUGGUCCCUAUGACAGCUAGGAUGUUGGCUUGGAAGCAGCCAUUCAUUCAAAGAGUGCGUAACAGCUCACUAGUCGAGGGUCCGGGCAUGGAUAAUAAUCGGGUAUAAGGCAGACACCGAAGGCGCGGGAUAGCAAUUAUAAAAGUAUCGGUAGGGGAGCAUACUCACAGCGUCGAAUGGUGUACGUAAGUUAUCCUGGAGCGGUGAGUAAAGCAAAUGUAGGAAUAAGUAACGAUAAGGAGGGUUAGAUUCCCUCCCGCUGUAAGACCAAGGUUUCCCGGGCAAUGCCAAUCAGCCCGGGGUCAGUCGGGUCCUAAGUCUAAGCCGAACGGCGAUGGCGAUGGCAGAGACGGUUAAUAUUCCGUCACUGCCGCAUGGGGCGACGUGGAGACGGAGCAGUGAAACCACCGCGGGGCGACGGAAGUCCCCGUUGAAGAGUGUAGGCGUUGAGGAUGGCAGGCAAAUCCACCAUCCGAGCUGAACUUGACAGUACGGAGUCCUCCUCGGAGGAAUCUGAUAGUGUGGGUAAUCAUACUCCCGAGAAAAUCCGCUAAGCUUAACCCAUGCGGCACCCGUACCGCAAACGGACACACGUGGUCGGGUAGAACAUACUAAGGCGUUGAGAGAUUCAUGGUUAAGGAACUAGGCAAAUUGACCCUGUAACUUCGGGAUAAAGGGUCCUCGUGAUGAGCGAGGCGCAGAGAAUAGGUCCAGGCAACUGUUUAACAAAAACACAGGGCUGUGCAAACUCGAAAGAUGACGUAUACAGCCUGACACCUGCCCGGUGCCGGAAGGUUAAGAGGAGAUGUCACUAGCAAUAGGAAGCAUUGAAUUGAAGCCCCGGUAAACGGCGGCCGUAACUAUAACGGUCCUAAGGUAGCGAAAUUCCUUGUCGGGUAAGUUCCGACCUGCACGAAAGGCGCAACGACUUGGGCGCUGUCUCGACCAUGGACCCGGUGAAAUUGCACUGGUCGUGAAGAUGCGACUUACCCGCGGAAGGACGGAAAGACCCCGUGAACCUUCACUGCAGCUUGGCAUUGGCCGCUGGUCCCGCGUGUAGAGGAUAGGCAGGAGGCACAGAUCCGGAGGCGCCAGCCCCCGGGGAGCCGCCCUUGGAAUACUGCCCUCGCGCGACCGGCGUCCUAACCCGAGGCCGUCAACCGGCUCGGGGACCGUGCCAGGCGGGCAGUUUGACUGGGGCGGUCGCCUCCUAAAGGGUAACGGAGGCGCGCGAAGGUCCGCUCGGGACGGUCGGCAACCGUCCUUUUGAAUGCAAGAGUACAAGCGGGCUUGACUGCGAGGCCCACAAGCCGAGCAGGUGCGAAAGCAGGCUCUAGUGAUCCGGCGGCCCCGAGUGGGUGGGCCGUCGCUCAACGGAUAAAAGGUACUCCGGGGAUAACAGGCUGAUCUUGCCCAAGAGUCCACAUCGACGGGGAGGUUUGGCACCUCGAUGUCGGCUCAUCGCAUCCUGGGGCUGGAGCAGGUCCCAAGGGUACGGCUGUUCGCCGUUUAAAGCGGUACGCGAGCUGGGUUCAGAACGUCGUGAGACAGUUCGGUCCCUAUCCUCCGUGGGCGCAGGAGAAUCGAUGGAGGCUGCCCCCAGUACGAGAGGACCGGGGUGGACGCACCUCCGGUGAACCGGUUGUCGACCAACGGCACGGCCGGGUAGCCGCGUGCGGCGCGGAUAACCGCUGAAGGCAUCUAAGCGGGAAGCCGUUCCAGGGAUUAGUUCUCCUUCCGGUAAGGGCCCAGGUAGACUACCUGGUCGAUAGACGGCAGGUGCAAGGACGGCGACGUCCUCAGCCGAGCCGCACUAAUCGCCCGAGCUCUUCCGGAA
rnacentral:rRNA from 1 species